CCGGCGUGGCCACCCCCCAGUCUCGGCUACUCCGCAGGCCUCUCGGGAAACCCUCCUGCAAGCAGCACAACUUCUGCAGUGGGAGCAGCUCCGGCACCUGGCCAAAACAGGGCAGACGGGGAAGAUCAGCGAGUGCAUGCUGGCCCGGUACAGGAGCAGGGCAGAGGACUACGUGGGCCAGAGCCUACCGUUCCUGCAGGACCCCCAGGCAUCGUUGCGAGAGGCGGCCGUGAGGUUCAUCGCCCUUCAGCCCCUCCAGAACGACAGCCAUCCCUGCGUCAGUGCCCUGGCAACACAGACCAUCCUGAUGCUGAGGCCUCCACAGGAAAACUCCCCGUCAGCAUUUAGCCUACGAGCCCUGCGCUCUCGGCUCCGCAGAAGCUGGGUGAUGUGGCACGUGCUUCUGGGCUGUUGCUCGGUUGGAGCAGAGCUAGAGCAGCAAUGCUGACGCUGGCGUGCUCUGCCCCCUGAGGCCCCACAGCUGAGCAUGCUGCACAGCCGGGCUCCUCCCUGCCUGCCUGCAGGGCAGCUGCCCUGCUCAGGCAUGCCCCGUCCCCAGUGGUGCUCUACAAGUUCACCCCUUGCUUGUGCUGUUCCCAAAGAAGCAGCCCUGUUUCUUCACCACGUUUGCCUUGUCUUUGCGGCGACAGAAGCAAAAGAGAAAACUCUGCCCCUAAAAGAGUCACGGUUGUCUUGCGAGUGGCACAAUGGCCACUCUUCCCAGCAGCC
rnacentral:lncRNA from 1 species